rnacentral:rRNA from 1 species
GACGAACGCUGGCGGCGUGCUUAACACAUGCAAGUCGAACGGAAACACCCUGCUUUUGUGGGCUGCUCGAUUGGCGAACGCGUGAGUAACACGUGAGUAACCUACCCUUGACUUUGGUGUAACUUCAGGAAGCGAGAGUUACGACCAUAUAGGAUCUCCUGCUCCAUUGUGGGGAUGGGAAAUUUUAAGCGGGUGGGGAUGAACGCGCGGCUGAUGAACUUGUUGGUUGGGGAGUGGCUUACCAAGGCUUGGACGGGUAGCCGGCCUGAGAGGGUGAACGGCCACAUUGGGACUGAGAUACGGACCAGAGGCCUACGGGAGGCAGUGGUGGGGAAUCUUGCACAGUGGGCGGAAGUCUGAUGCAGAAACGUCGCGUGCGGGAUGACGGCCUGUGGGUUGUAAACAGCAUUCGCCUGUGACGAAGCGUGAGUGACGGUAAUGGGUAAAGAAGCACCGGCUAACUACGUG